rnacentral:rRNA from 1 species
ACUGAGGGUGGAUUCCGGAGCUAACGCGUUAAGUCGACCGCCUGGGGAGUACGGCCGCAAGUUAAAACUCAAAUGAAUUGACGGGGGCCCGCACAAGGAGGGAGCAUGUGGUUUAAUUCGAUGCAACGGAAGAACCUUACCUGGUCUUGACAUCCACAGAACUUGGCAGAGAUGCCUUGGUGCCUUCGGGAACUGUGAGACAGGUGCUGCAUGGCUGUCGUCAGCUCGUGUUGUGAAAUGUUGGGUUAAGUCCCGCAACGAGCGCAACCCUUAUCCUUUGUUGCCAGCGGUUAGGCCGGGAACUCAAAGGAGACUGCCAGUGAUAAACUGGAGGAAGGUGGGGAUGACGUCAAGUCAUCAUGGCCCUUACGACCAGGGCUACACACGUGCUACAAUGGCGCAUACAAAGAGAAGCAAUCUCGCGAGACCUAGCGGACCUCAUAAAGUGCGUCGUAGUCCGGAUUGGAGUCUGCAACUCGACUCCAUGAAGUCGGAAUCGCUAGUAAUCGUGAAUCAGAAUGUCACGGUGAAUACGUUCCCGGGCCUUGUACACACCGCCCGUCACACCAUGGGAGUGGGUUGCAAAAGAAGUAGGUAGCUUAACCUUCGGGAGGGCGCUUACCACUUUGUGAUUCAUGACUGGGGUGAAGUC